rnacentral:lncRNA from 1 species
CCCUGGAGAGGACCCCUCCCCUCCCAUGGCUUUGAGCCCAUGAGAUGGCCUUGGACAAAGCGGCAAUGGGCCCUUCCUGAGACACAGUGCGGCCAUCUACUGGAAAACUGCCCAGUGUGACUCUGAUGACUGUGAUGUGAAUCCUACAGCAAAGUUGAGCAGUGCGCAACCUGGGCUACUGCACCUGGCAGCCCCGGCUCCUCCUCGUCUGCCUCUUCCUGCUCCUUCAUUCUCCCCCAGAGCUCUAAUUGUCACUGAGAUUUUAUGUUUCAUUUAACAAAUGACUGUCUCCCCGCUUGAACAGAACCUCCAUGGGGGGAGGGAAGAGUGUCUGUUGUAUAAAUAGUUGUAUUUCAGUGCAUAAAACAGUGCCUG